AUUGAACGCUGGCGGCAGGCCUAACACAUGCAAGUCGAACGGCAGCACAGAAGAGCUUGCUCUUUGGGUGGCGAGUGGCGGACGGGUGAGUAAUGUCUGGGAAACUGCCCGAUGGAGGGGGAUAGCUACUGGAAACGGUAGCUAAUACCGCAUAACGUCGCGAGACCAAAGUGGGGGACCUUCGGGCCUCACACCAUCGGAUGUGCCCAGAUGGGAUUAGCUAGUAGGUGGGGUAAUGGCUCACCUAGGCGACGAUCCCUAGCUGGUCUGAGAGGAUGACCAGCCACACUGGAACUGAGACACGGUCCAGACUCCUACGGGAGGCAGCAGUGGGGAAUAUUGCACAAUGGGCGCAAGCCUGAUGCAGCCAUGCCGCGUGUAUGAAGAAGGCCUUCGGGUUGUAAAGUACUCUCAGCGGGGAGGAAGGCGGUGAGGUUAAUAACCUCGCCGAUUGACGUUACCCGCAGAAGAAGCACCGGCUAACUCCGUGCCAGCCGCCGCGGUAA
rnacentral:rRNA from 1 species